rnacentral:rRNA from 1 species
UGCGUAGGUGGCGAGGUAAGUUUGAUGUGAAAUCUCCGAGCUCAACUCGGAAACGGCAUUGAAUACUAUCCCGCUUGAGGGUUGGAGGGGGGACUGGAAUUCUCGGUGUAGCAGUGAAAUGCGUAGAUAUCGAGAGGAACACCAGUGGCGAAGGCGAGUCUCUGGACGACUCCUGACACUGAGGCACGAAAGCUGGGGAGCAAACA